rnacentral:lncRNA from 1 species
ACAAAGAUGGUUGUUGUAAACAGAAGUGAGGAGAGAGUUGCAGCUAUACGUCAAGAUCUGAAGGAUGUUGAGAUUAUUUACAAACCCCUGGAUGAGAUGCUAACUUGUGCUGCUGAGGCUGAUGUUAUUUUCACUAGCACAGCAUCGGAAACUCCAUUGUUUUUGAAAGAUGAUGUUAAAGAUCUUCCCUCUGUUGGCUCGGAGGUUGGGGGUUUGAGGUUAUUUAUAGAUAUCUCUGUUCCAAGGAAUGUGGGCUCAUGCGUCAAUGGUGUUGAAAACGCACGAGUUUACAAUGUUGAUGACCUCAAGGAGGUCGUGGCUGCUAAUAAAGAAGAUCGCCUCCGAAAAGCAAUGGAAGCUCAGGCAAUUAUUACUGAGGAAUCAAAGCAAUUUGAAGCUUGGAGGGAUUCGUUGGAGACUGUUCCUACCAUCAAGAAGUUAAGAGCCUAUGCAGAGAGAAUUAGAGCUGCAGAGCUAGAUAAAUGUCUUUCAAAAAUGGGUGAAGAUAUCCCAAAGAAAACAAGGAGAGCUGUGGAUGAUCUCAGCCGCGGUAUAGUUAACAAGCUCCUUCAUGGUCCAAUGCAGCACCUGAGAUGCGAUGGCAGUGACAGCCGAACUCUAAGUGAGACCCUCGAGAACAUGCAUGCUCUUAACAGAAUGUUCAGCCUCGAGACAGAAGUAGCCGUGUUGGAACAAAAGCUUCGAGCCAAAACCAACCAGAAGUAAGCUCCACUACAAAAAAUCAC